AAAUUUAUUUAGAAAAAAACUCCGUGACAUGGGAUAUAAAAAUAUUCAUUUGAAGAAAAGCUUCUGUCUAGAAAAUAUUUACAUUAUACACAAAAAAAUAACAAAGUGCAACAUCAAUAAACUGCUAUUACGACUUUAAAACUGUACAUUUGAGGUUGCAGGAAAAAUUAAAUCAAUGCUCAAAGUUAUUCUUUAACGUACACUAUAAACAGAUAAUGUACAUGUACUAGAAUCUAUUUACAUGUUAGCUCCAAAAGAUGCUGCUCAGCUAUUCAAACAAGUAUUUAAAAUAUCUAUUACUUUAAAUCUAGUUAGGUCAAAGGUCAGGUUUACAGGAAAACAAAUCAAUUUCUUUUCCCUCUUCUUUGCCAAACUGUUUCAAUUCACUUUUCAUCCAAACAAGCUGCUGGCCACGCUUUCCAGCUCAACGUUUAAGCUCACAUGUGAAAAUGGCUGCAAAUAGAUGCGCAAUUAUGUCUUAUUACCUUUGAAAAGCAGAAGUGGAGCCUCCUCCACAACCAACAAGAAUCCAGCAAGUGGUUUCUGGAUGGUAAAUCAACAACAAAACACUUGUCUUUCCAGCAGCCAUUGUACAGUCAAACAGCCAAACAAGCUGGAGCUUGGCUGGGGUUGCUAGGUAAUGGGCAGAGUUCCUCUGGGGUUGCUAGGUAACCGGCAGAGUUCCACUGGGGUUGCUAGGUAACGAGCAGAGUUCUGCUGGUGUUGCUAGGUAAUGUGAGGGGCAGUAAAGACCCAAAUGUAAGUA